GUGUCGAUGAGCAGGAAGGAAGAAAAGGGUUCAAACCCUAGUUUCUUCAAAAUCUUCAAAUUAAAAGGGAAAUCGAAGGCUAGUUGACUGCAUAAACUAAGAAUGGUGAUCAUCUAAGCAUUUCCUACAUCAACAUUAGGGAUCAUGUGGACAUGGACUCAAGCACGAAAGACUAACGGGUCAAGAUGAGGCAAGCAAGCGGGUAUGAACACGGAUGCACAAGGUUGUGCGGGUCACGGAGGAUCAUCGAGGAAUAAAGAUCGAAGAACGAGUCACAUAAGGGAUUGUACGGGGUUGUCUAAGGAUGCAAAUUGUUGUACAUAAGCUAUGAUUUAUUCUAUAAUUGAGUCAGUUUGUCGUAUUCAAUAUAAAAGAGUUAUUAUAAAAGUGAACUUUCAAGUAAGACGUAAGGUUUAUAAUGAAAGAAUUUUUAUGGCAUGAACUUCCGCU